rnacentral:tRNA from 1 species
AGCAGCGUGGCUCAGUGGAGAGCCCGGGCUUUGGAGUCAGAGGUCAUGGGUUCGAAUCCCAGCUCUGCCA